UUGUCUCAAAGAUUAAGCCAUGCAUGUCUCAGUACAAGCCAAAUUAAGGUGAAACCGCGAAAGGCUCAUUAAAUCAGUUAUGGUUCCUUAGAUCGUACCAACAUUUACUUGGAUAACUGUGGUAAUUCUAGAGCUAAUACAUGCAAACAGAGCUCCGACCGGAGACGGAAGGAGCGCUUUUAUUAGAUCAAAACCAAUCGGCGGCGGGUCCGCUUGCGGUCUCGUCGUCGUUCGCAUUGACGAAUCUGAAUAACUUUCUGCUGAUCGCACGGUCUCGCACCGGCGACGCAUCUUUCAAAUGUCUGCCUUAUCAACUGUCGAUGGUAGGUUCUGUGCCUACCAUGGUUGUAACGGGUAACGGGGAAUCAGGGUUCGAUUCCGGAGAGGGAGCCUGAGAAACGGCUACCACAUCCAAGGAAGGCAGCAGGCGCGCAAAUUACCCACUCCCGGCACGGGGAGGUAGUGACGAAAAAUAACGAUACGGGACUCAUCCGAGGCCCCGUAAUCGGAAUGAGAACAAUUUAAAUCCUUUAACGAGGAUCAAUUGGAGGGCAAGUCUGGUGCCAGCAGCCGCGGUAAUUCCAGCUCCAAUAGCGUAUAUUAAAGUUGUUGCGGUUAAAAAGCUCGUAGUCGAAUCUGUGUCCCACGCCGCCGGUUCGUCGCUCGCGGCGUUUAACUGGCGUGCCCGUGGGACGUCCUGCCGGUGGGCUCAGCUCUUUCGCGAGGGCGGCCCAAUCAUAAUCCCGCCGCGGUGCUCUUCACCGAGUGUCGAGGCGGGCCGGCACGUUUACUUUGAACAAAUUAGAGUGCUUAAAGCAGGCUAAAACUUCGCCUGAAUACUUCGUGCAUGGAAUAAUGGAAUAGGACCUCGGUUCUAUUUUGUUGGUUUUCGGAACCCCGAGGUAAUGAUUAAUAGGAACGGAUGGGGGCAUUCGUAUUGCGACGUUAGAGGUGAAAUUCUUGGAUCGUCGCAAGACGGACAGAAGCGAAAGCAUUUGCCAAAAACGUUUUCAUUGAUCAAGAACGAAAGUUAGAGGUUCGAAGGCGAUCAGAUACCGCCCUAGUUCUAACCAUAAACGAUGCCAGCUAGCGAUCCGCCGACGUUCCUCCGAUGACUCGGCGGGCAGCUUCCGGGAAACCAAAGCUUUUGGGUUCCGGGGGAAGUAUGGUUGCAAAGCUGAAACUUAAAGGAAUUGACGGAAGGGCACCACCAGGAGUGGAGCCUGCGGCUUAAUUUGACUCAACACGGGAAACCUCACCAGGCCCGGACACCGGAAGGAUUGACAGAUUGAGAGCUCUUUCGGGAUUCGGUGGGUGGUGGUGCAUGGCCGUACU
rnacentral:rRNA from 1 species